ACAGAGUUGUCCUGAAGCCACUCCAUUGAUAUCUUUGCUGUGUGCUUAGGGUCAUUGUCCUGCUGAAAGAUGAGCCAUUGCCCCAGGCUGAGGUCAAGAGAGCCCUGGAGCAGGUUUUCAUCCAAGAUGUCUCUGUACAUUGCUGCAUUAAUCUUUCCCUCAAUCCUGACUAGUCUCCCAGUUCCUGCCACU